UCGUCCUGCUCGUGAUCGUCUUCUCAACCUUCACUUGCGGGCGGAAGAAACGGACGGCCCCCGCGAGGACGUGACUCGCGGGGGCCGUCC
rnacentral:ncRNA from 1 species